rnacentral:rRNA from 1 species
GACGAACGCUGGCGGCGUGCUUAACACAUGCAAGUCGAACGAAAAUACCAAGCUUGCUUGGUUGAUUAGUGGCGAACGGGUGAGUAACACGUGAGUAACCUGCCCCUUACUUUCCUGGAUAACUGCUCGAAAGGGUAGCUAAUACGGGAUAUUCUGACCAGCCUGCAUGGGUUGGUUUGGAAAGGUUGUUUUUCUGGUAAGGGAUGGGCUCGCGGCCUAUCAGCUUGUUGGUGGGGUGAUGGCCUACCAAGGCUUUGACGGGUAGCCGGCCUGAGAGGGUGGACGGUCACACUGGGACUGAGAUACGGCCCAGACUCCUACGGGAGGCAGCAGUGGGGAAUAUUGCACGAUGGGCGCAAGCCUGAUGCAGCGACGCCGCGUGAGGGAUGAAGGCCUUCGGGUUGUAAACCUCUUUCGUCAGGGAACAAGGCACUGCUUUUGUGGUGGUGUUGAGGGUACCUGGAUAAGAAGCGCCGGCUAACUACGUG